rnacentral:rRNA from 1 species
UACAGAGGGUGCAAGCGUUAAUCGGAGUUACUGGGCGUAAAGGGCGCGUAGGCUGGUAUUUAAGUCGAUUGUGAAAUCCCUGGGCUUAACCUAGGAAUUGCAGUCGAUACUGAAUAUCUCGAGUAUGGUAGAGGAAAGUGGAAUUCUCGGUGUAGUGGUUAAAUACGUAGAUAUCGAGAAGAACACCAGUGGCGAAGGCGACUUUCUGGACCAAUACUGACGCUGAGGCGCGAAAGCGUGGGGAGCAAACAGG